GACGGUGCUGUAGGCGGGGGGCCCGGACGUGGUCUGCCUCUGGAGGAGGUGCAGGAUGGCCUGGAUGUCUGAGGUCAUCUGGGACUCCAGUCUGACAGGAAAACAUGGACUCAAAUCACAAAAAGGUACCAGGAAAUGGAGCACCUGCACCGUUUCAUCACCCGAUGCAGAGUUACAUCAUGGCGUCUCUGAGGGGGUGAAUCACCUUUCCUCCACACAUUCCUUUUGACAGCAGCACACACAGGAUGGAGAGGGAGAGUGGGGGAAGCCUGCCAGGUGGCUGUUUGCUCUUUAGAGGAGAAUAAGUAAGUGUCUGCAGCUGUGAUGCAGUGCACUGAGUGUGACUGAUGGGGGAACUCUCUGAGCCAUGUUCCCUCCAUCAGUGAACAUCAUCUCCCCAAACUGUGCAACUCCUCCUCACAUGAGGACGUCCACAGUCUGUGCAAUGUGUCUGCAUCUAGAUAGACAGUCUGCCCCCCCCCCCCCCCCCUCCAUCUGCACAGAGCAGCAGCAGCAGCCGGGAGUCACAGAGCUGCUCACACACUCUGCAUUAACGCCUGCAGCCGCUGUCUGGCCUCAAAUGUCUCCAUGAGAGCUUCUUCACUUACAGGGAGGAGGGUUCGUCUUCAGAGCUCUGAGCUGAGCUGACUUUGCAAAAAAAAAGAAAGAAAAAGCAUGAUGGGAACCCAAAGAUUCCUUCUGUUCUCGAGAGGUCAGGAACCUCCUCUUUAUGGCCAUCAAGCAUUGAAACAUGCUGAGCUUAAAAGUAAAGUUGUACUCAUACAUGUGCUGGUAUUUGUAUUUAAUAAAUCAGUACUUUAAUGUG